rnacentral:rRNA from 1 species
UACGUAGGGUGCAAGCGUUAAUCGGAAUUACUGGGCGUAAAGCGUGCGCAGGCGGUUUUGUAAGACAGUCGUGAAAUCCCCGGGCUCAACCUGGGAAUUGCGAUUGUGACUGCAAAGCUGGAGUGCGGCAGAGGGGGAUGGAAUUCCGCGUGUAGCAGUGAAAUGCGUAGAUAUGCGGAGGAACACCGAUGGCGAAGGCAAUCCCCUGGGCCUGCACUGACGCUCAUGCACGAAAGCGUGGGGAGCAAAC